rnacentral:rRNA from 1 species
UACGUAGGGUGCAAGCGUUGUCCGGAAUUAUUGGGCGUAAAGAGCGUGUAGGCGGCUUGGUAGGUCUGCUGUGAAAACUCGGGGCUCAACCCCGAGACGUCGGUGGAAACCACCUGGCUAGAGUCCGGAAGAGGAGAGUGGAAUUCCUGGUGUAGCGGUGAAAUGCGCAGAUAUCAGGAAGAAUAUCCGUGGCGAAGGCGGCUCUCUGGGACGGUACUGACGCUGAGACGCGAAAGCGUGGGGAGCGAACAGG